CGUAAGCGUACGCAGGCGGUUUGUUAAGCGAGAUGUGAAAGCCCCGGGCUCAACCUGGGAACUGCAUUUCGAACUGGCAAACUAGAGUAUGAUAGAGGGUGGUAGAAUUUCAGGUGUAGCGGUGAAAUGCGUAGGGAUCUGAAGGAAUACCGAUGGCGAAGGCAGCCACCUGGGUCAAUACUGACGCUCAUGUACGAAAGCGUGGGGAGCAAACGGGAUUAGGAUACCCCGGUAGUCCACGCCGUAAACGAUGUCUACUAGGAGCUGGGGUCUUCGGAGCAACUUUUCCAANGCUAACGCAUUAAGUAGACCGCCUGGGGAGUACGGCCGCAAGGUUAAGAACUCAAAUGAAUUGACGGGGGCCCGCACAAGCGGUGGAGCAUGUGGUUUAAUUCGAUGCAACGCGAAGAACCUUACCUACACUUGACAUACAGAGAACUUACCAGAGAUGGUUUGGUGCCUUCGGGAACUCUGAUACAGGUGCUGCAUGGCUGUCGUCAGCUCGUGUUGUGAGAUGUUGGGUUAAGUCCCGCAACGAGCGCAACCCCUAUCCUUAGUUGCCAGCGAUUCGGUCGGGAACUCUAAGGAGACUGCCGGUGAUAAACCGGAGGAAGGUGGGGACGACGUCAAGUCAUCAUGGCCCUUACGUGUAGGGCUACACACGUGCUACAAUGGCGCAUACAGAGUGCUGCAAGCUUGCGAGAGUUAGCGAAUCACUUA
rnacentral:rRNA from 1 species